rnacentral:misc_RNA from 1 species
CAUUAUUUCCAUCCCCUGAAUAUCUUUUAGACCUUUAAACAGUGUAUUAAUGUUCUUCCUCAAUUUUGUGAUAAGACCAGGAUUUUCUUCCAAUAUAUCAAAAGCUUUGACUGCGGCACUUGCCAGAUAAGGAGGCAAAGAAGCAGAAAACACAUAGCCAGAGCUACUGAGACGCUGGUGUUCAAUGACUCUUGUACUCCCGGUGCAAAAUCCUCCUUCUGUGGCCAAUGCAUGCCCCAUGGCAGCCGUAAUGAUAUCUAUCUUGUCAACCGGCACAUUGUAAUACUCUGUUAGACCUUUACCAGAACUGCCAAGCACACCCAAGGAAUUGCUUUCAUCCAACAAUACCCGGAAUCUGUAUUUUUCUUUCAGUUUGAUGAUUUCAUCCAAUGGAGCUAUUUGACCAGAAUUCUGAUAUAGUGCUUCAACAAUAAUAUAUCGCCUAAGUUUUUUAGCUUGCUUGUUUUCUUGAGUGAUUUUCUCCAAUGUAUUUCUCAAGGACUCCAUAUCAUUGUGCUUGAAGUAUAUGAUUGUACUUCUAGAGAGCUGAAGUCCAUUUUGUAUUCCCCAAUGGACACCUUCAUCCGCAACAAUGACAUCUCCCUUCUUGCAAAAUGCUGGAAUUGCACUGAACAUGGUAGAAAGUCCAUAAGAGUAGAGUAUAGAAUCGGGAGUUCCAAGAAACUUAGCUAUCCUGGCCUCACAAUCAAGGUGAACAUCAAUUGUUCCAUAGAAUCCACGAGGACCACAAG